GAAAGAGGCAAGGGGCAGAUGGCAGCAGACUGGGACACAGAGAAGAGCACCACAAGGGUCAAGGUAUACAUCUAAGCAAAACAACAACUCAAGAUCAUGGCACAUGACUGCAGAACAGCAAAUAUUGAUCAGGGAACACAGCCAGCUGACUUCUUAUGUGAACGGGAGCCAGAAAAACCAGAGAGCUCCAAACUAAGCUUCUGCACGGACAGAGCACGGGAGAAAAUGGAACUACAAUUGGAGGGGCUGCCGAGUUCAACCACUACAGAAGAUAACACUUUGAGGCGAUCCAGCAGCGCCCCUUUGAUCAGUGGCCUUGGUGAUAGUUCACAAGUGUUACGAUCUGAUUCAAUAACAACUCGAAGAAACAGUGCAACAUGUAUGACACAACACAGUCUGUUUGUGCCAUCUUCUCCCGGUCUUGCUUCCAUCAGUCACCUCCAUCAAAUUAAACAGAAGAACAACGAGGUACAGAAACCAUCUUCUGCAAACUGCACUGAUUUAAUUCCAGCAUCUGCAGCAGCUUCUCUCACCGAGGUGACUGGCAAGAAGAAGUCAAAGUGCCGCCAGUACUAUUAGAUCAAGUGUCCUUGGCCCAUUAAAAGGAAAAGGUGAAAUGACAUCUGAACACCAUCCAAAGAGAAUUUUCCAAGGCACAACCACCAUGCUUUCUUCUGAUACUAAUCCUAGUGUUUGAUAGGAAUAUGUGGUAAGUAUUAACAUGAGACUUUGAGUAUUCAUUGGCUACUUUGGGUUUUUCAGUCUACUUUGGCUAUCGUACAUAUUCAAAAGUGUGGUAUAUUAUGAAAUAUUUUUAGUAAGGUUUAUAAAAUGACUAUCCCAAAUGGAUAUCAUUAACUAGUUCUUCUACCCAACACUUAGUAUAUGGUAGACACAUUUUUAGAAGUGGGCUUUUGGCAUUAGAUUAAGAGGUAUUAGAGAAAUAUUAAUACAUAAAAAUGCAAGCUUAGGAAAGAGUCAUCUGCCCAUCUUUUCCACCUUGGAUUUUUGGACUUUUUUAGGCUGAGCAUAUGAUUUAAAAGUGUGCCAAGAAAGCAAAUAAUCAAAAUGGGAAACACAGUGAAUGGAUUUUUAUUAUCAUUACUGUUGGUUUUUUUUACUCCUCUUAUGAAACUGCUCCUGUAACCAGUGCCAAUUCCUUGUUCAUUUUGCAUUCAUUUGUACACAAAGCGCAGAGAUCUCUUGAAUUCUGUUAUCAAUGAGUGGCAUUUUCUUUUCCUAAUCUAUACUCAGAUGUUCUUGAUAGAAACAACAGUAGUGCAGGAUCAUCUCACAGUUCACCAGCGAAAAUCAGCACUGUCACAAACUCUCCUGUGUUGCCUUCUGAUUCUAGUUCUCCAUUUAUUGUAAUUGAUGAACUUUCAACUAAAUGAUUCACUCAUCCUAAGACUUUCUCCCCAAUGGAGAAACACACAUGCACUCACUUGCUUGAUCUCUCUCUCUCACACACACACACACAUGUUGGUUCAGUAACAGAAUUGUCUGUGAUAUAAUUGACUAUUUCUUAUUUAUGGAUCAGUAACAGAACUGUCUGUGAUAUAAUUGACUAUUUCUUAUUUAUCUUUUUUUCUCAAUUUCCUAAAAUUCUGUUUAUUUACAGAACUUGCAUGUCUAAUUCCUGUGUAUGCUCUUAAAAGCAACGUAGUAAUACUUUCAAAGAUAUUUUCCAAACAAGAUGUAUCUUGAAGAUACAAUCAUACAUCUUCAGGUUGCUAAUAUAUAGAAACAUGCUGCGCCUUGACUUAAAAAAAAAAAAAUUGAGAGCUCUAUUUAUGUGAAUAAAAAAUAAAUAAAAUUUACAUUCUAAUGAAAUAUCAUUCCAUUAAUCAACAGGUAAAAUGAUUUUGAAGACUAUGUGCUGAAUAUUUAUGCUAGUUUUUUUAAUAUUUUCAGUAAUUGCUAGUUUCCAUUCUGUAAAGAAAAAUCAUCUAUCAAAAGCAGUUUUAAAAACUAAGCUAGUUAUACCGUACUGAUCCAAGAAUUGCCAAUUUUUCACAUGAAUCCUUGGAUGUUUAAUUUGUUGGGAAGAAAUACGUAGGGGAGGCAAGAUGAAUGGAAGCUAAUUGAAUAGCAAGAAAAUAAUAUGUAAUUGGGGCUUCACUCAAUUUGUACUUAACCUGAUUAUCCCUGAUCAAUUUUGUAUUCUAAUUAAGUGUGAAAAAAGACAAUGUGGAUAAAUUGUGGUCUUUUACAUUCUAUGAAUUACCUUGUAUUCAUCAUCAUGACUACUGAUUUGAUUAAAUACAGGCUUAAUAUGUUAGGGCUUUUCUGCAAGAAUCAUGUGCUUCCAGUUGUUUCCAAAGGGUUAUAAUGAUUUGUUUAAAACCCAAUUUUCUCUUCAAAAGUCUUAAGGAUCUUUUAAAUAAGAAAAAUCAUCUGUUAAAAAUUUUAAAUCUAAAGUAAGUGCUCUAAGUAAUUGGGGCUAGUAUUAGCAUUUUGAAAAAUAGAAAUGUGUUAUAUCUUCAUGAAAUGAAGUUGAGAAUUGGUUUAAAUUUCCUCAGCUAAUGAAGGUAGAAAUGGCUAUCUAAAAUAUUUAUUAAAUGUUUUUCUUUGUCAUUAGAAAUAAUCAGAAUGAUUGAAAUCUGAUGUAUGUGUAUCCCACGUGGGAAAAAGAUAGGCAUCAAGAAUCUUUUGUCAAUGGCCGUGAUAGAAUUGAUUAGAAUGGAUAUAUAUUGUGUGUGGGGGUGGGGGAGGGCAGAGUCUAUUCACCUAUGGAUAAGUGAAACUGAAUAUUUCUGAGAUGACGGGGAUCAUCCUGAAACUGGGAUAGAAUUCUACAAAUCAACUUAGGACACGUGAACUAUGAAUAUUGCCUUUGUUAUUUAGCUUCUUGCCAGACAUUAGUUGAUGAGUUGUGAACAUAUAAGGGGGCUCUCACAGAAUGAGGUAUGAUUGCAGUGAUGUUACUUGCUGAAAUUAUAUAUUAUUGACAAAAAAAAAGGUCCCCAUGCAUUUAUUUGACACUUCAGCAAAAAAAAAAAAAAAGUUUUUCAGAAUGAUCAAAGACUAAGGAUGGAGAAAGUAAGCAAUGAGGGUGAGACUGUAACUCAGCGUGUGAGGAACUUUCAUCCAGAAAUCUUGGUAAUCUUGACUGUCUCAUCCUAAUACACUUUUUUUCAACUCAGACAAUUUCUUUCACUCUAUUUUCUUAGUUUUUAUUGUUUUAGUUGAAUCCUAGGGUGCCACAACUCACUAUAAUAUGCUCAGAAUUGAGGACCUUGUGGUUGGUUUUCUAUUCUAUUACAUUUUGAACUUGUACAUCGGGAGGCUCUAUUUCUUAAAUGAUUUUACAUUUAUUAAUUUUCAGAUCAAAGCAAUUCUAAGUUUUACAGGAGAUAUUUUGUAGUUAAGUUUUAAAAAUUAUAAUAAGACCAUGUUUUGUAAUUCUAAACAUGCUGAGGAACUGCCAUACCAAUUUUUCACAGUGAGGGACAUGUACUAGUUCCUUAGGGCUGCAAUAACACAGUACCACAAACUGGGUAGCCCAAAAUAAUAGAAAUGGAUUAUAUCUGUAGAGACCCUCUUUUCAAAUAAGGUCACAUUAAGAGGUGCAGGGAGUUAGAACUUCACCAUUAUCUUUCUGUGGAUAUAAUUCAACCCACAACAGGAUGGUUAGGGAAUUUUUGAUUGUUCCAAUUUUUUAAAUUAGUUUUUUAAAUCACCUAUCUUAUAACUCAUCUUUAAAAGUGUGAGAACAAGAGGUGAUCAUAUUUACAUGUGUUUGUAUGUCUUCUUAUACAUUUAUAUAUAUUAAUAAUUAUAAUUAUAAAUAUAUU
rnacentral:lncRNA from 1 species